rnacentral:tRNA from 1 species
AAAUUUAGGAUAUUCAAACCAAGGGCCUUCAAAGCCCUAAAAAAGAGCCCUGCCCUCUUAAUUUCU